CCUACGGGUGGCAGCAGUGAGGGAUAUUGGUCAAUGGGGGAAACCCUGAACCAGCAACGCCGCGUGAGGGAAGACGGUUUUCGGAUUGUAAACCUCUGUCCUCUGUGAAGAUAAUUACGGUAGCAUAGGAGGAAGCCCCGGCUAAACACGUGCCAGCAGCCCCGGGAAAUCGUAGGGAGGCAGCGUUUUACGGAUUUUCUGGGUGUAAAGGGUGCGUUGGCGGGCUUGCAAGUCUGAAGGUAAAUCCAUGGGGUUAACCCGUGAACUGCUUUUGAAACUGUAGGUCUUGAGUGAAGUAGAGGCAGGCGGAAUUCCCGGUGUAGCGGUGAAAUGCGUAGAGAUCGGGAGGAACACCAGUGGCGAAGGCGGCCUGCUGGGCUUUAACUGACGCUGAAGCACGAAAGCGUGGGUAGCAAACAGGAUUAGAUACCCGUGUAGUC
rnacentral:rRNA from 1 species